AUUGAACGCUGGCGGCAGGCCUAACACGUGCAAGUCGAACGGUAACAGGAAGACGCUUGCUUCUUUGCUGACGAGUGGCGGACGGGUGAGUAAUGUCUGGGAAACUGCCUGAUGGAGGGGGAUAACUACUGGAAACGGUAGCUAAUACCGCAUAACGUCGCAAGACCAAAAAGGGGGACCUUCGGGCCUCUUGCCAUCGGAUGUGCCCAGAUGGGAUUAGCUAGUAGGUGGGGUAACGGCUCACCUAGGCGACGAUCCCUAGCUGGUCUGAGAGGAUGACCAGCCACACUGGAACUGAGACACGGUCCAGACUCCUACGGGAGGCAGCAGUGGGGAAUAUUGCACAAUGGGCGCAAGCCUGAUGCAGCCAUGCCGCGUGUAUGAAGAAGGCCUUCGGGUUGUAAAGUACUUUCAGCGGGGAGGAAGGGAGUAAAGUUAAUACCUUUGCUCAUUGACGUUACCCGCAGAAGAAGCACCGGCUAACUCCGUG
rnacentral:rRNA from 1 species